GCAAAUAUAGUUUAAUGGUAAAAUUAUAGCCUUCCAAGCUAAAGUUACGGGUUCAAUUCCCGUUAUUUGCU
rnacentral:tRNA from 1 species